rnacentral:rRNA from 1 species
UACGUAGGUGGCAAGCGUUGUCCGGAAUUAUUGGGCGUAAAGCGCGCGCGGGCGGUCCUUUAAGUCUGAUGUGAAAGCCCACGGCUCAACCGUGGAGGGUCAUUGGAAACUGGGGGACUUGAGUGCAGGAGAGAAGAGUGGAAUUCCACGUGUAGCGGUGAAAUGCGUAGAGAUGUGGAGGAACACCAGUGGCGAAGGCGACUCUUUGGCCUGUAACUGACGCGGAGGCGCGAAAGCGUGGGGAGCAAACAGG